UGUGACGGGUAUCGUUCCCUGUCGUGCCGAACUAACGAUUUAAGAAUUCCGCCUGGGGAGUACGGACGCAAGGCUGAKACACAAAGAAAUUGACGGGGGCACABAAAKGCGGUGAGGAUUGUGGUUCAUUUCGACGAAACAAAAAGAKCCUUACCCAGGCUUGAAAUGCAAGUGUCAUGAGCAAAAGGUUGACUUACGCAAGGACACACGUAAAGGUGCUGAAAGGCUGUCGUAAGCUCGUGUCGUGAAAUGUUGGGUUAAGUCACGAAACAAACGAAACCCAUGUUUGCUGUUGCCAAAACGUUAUGGUGGGAACUCUGAAAAGACUGCCGGUAAAAAAACGAAGAAAGGUGGGAAUGACGUAAAGUAAGAAUGGCCUUUAUGUCUGGGGCUACACACGUGCUAAAAUGGCCGGUUAAAACCGACAAAAAAACGCAAGGUGAAGCUAUACGGAUAAAGCCGGUCAAAGUUARUGGAUGAAGGCUGCAAACUCGCCUGCAUAAAGAUGGAUACGCUAAAUAAACACGGAUCACGCACGCACGCGAUGAAAUACGUACCCGGGCCUUUGUACACACACGCC
rnacentral:rRNA from 1 species